rnacentral:rRNA from 1 species
AUUGAACGCUGGCGGCAGGCCUAACACAUGCAAGUCGAGCGAGCGGCGGACGGGUGAGUAAUGUAUGGGGACUGCCCGAUAGAGGGGGAUAACUACUGGAAACGGUGGCUAAUACCGCAUACUAUCGGAUAACCCAUAUGGGAUUAGCUAGUAGGUGGGGUAAAGGCUCACCUAGGCGACGAUCUCUAGCUGGUCUGAGAGGAUGAUGAGCCACACGGGGACGGAGACACGGCCCGGACGCCUACGGAGGCAGCAGUGGGGAAUAUUGCACAAGGGGGGCAAGCCUGAGGCAGCCAUGCCGCGGGUAUGAAGAAGGCCUUAGGGUGGUAAAGUACUUUAAGCGGGGAGGCGUUACCCGAAGAAGAAGCACCGGCUAACUCCGUGCCAGCAGCCGCGGUAAUAC